AUACGUAGGGUGCAAGCGUUAAUCGGAAUUACUGGGCGUAAAGCGUGCGCAGGCGGUUUUGUAAGACAGAGGUGAAAUCCCCGGGCUCAACCUGGGAACUGCCUUUGUGACUGCAAGGCUAGAGUACGGCAGAGGGGGAUUGAAUUCCGCGUGUAGCAGUGAAAUGGGUAGAUAUGCGGAGGAACACCGAUGGCUAAGGCAAUCCCAUGGGACUGUACUGACGCACAUGCACGAAAGCGUGGGGAGCAAACAGGAUUAGAUACCCUGGUAGUCAACGCCCUAGACGAUGUCAACUGGUUGUUGGGUCUUCCGUGACUCAGUAACGAAGCUAACGCGUGAAGUUGACCGCCUGGGGAGUACGGCCGCAAGGUUGAAACUCAAAUGAAUUGGCGGGG
rnacentral:rRNA from 1 species